rnacentral:tRNA from 2 species
ACCCAUCAAGUCCUCGAUCUGAAUUCAAGGCUCUUAACCUUGUGGUCGUGGGUUCGAGCCCCACGGUGGGCG